rnacentral:rRNA from 1 species
UUUGUAGAAGGUGCUUCGGGCGCGACCCCGGCCUAAGUCUUUUGGAAUAGGGCGUCCCAGAGGGUGAGAAUCCCGUACGCGGCCGAGGGUCUAGUCCACGUGAAGCCCUUUCGAAGAGUCGAGUUGUUUGGGAAUGCAGCUCUAAGUGGGUGGUAAAUUUCAUCUAAAGCUAAAUAUCUGCCGGAGACCGAUAGCGCACAAGUAGAGUGAUCGAAAGAUGAAAAGCACUUUGAAAAGAGAGUCAAAAAGUACGUGAAAUUGUUGAAAGGGAAGCGCUUGCAACCAGACUCGUUCGCAGGUGUUCAACCGUCUCUUGGGGUGGUGCACUCUCCUGCGAUCGGGCCAGCAUCGGUUUUGGCGGCUGGAUAAAGGCCUCGGGAACGUAGCUCCUCGGAGUGUUAUAGCCCGGGGUGCAAUGCAGCCAGCUGAGACCGAGGACUGCGCAUCUGCUAGGAUGCUGGCGUAAUGGUUGCCAGCGACCCGUCUGAAACACGGA